UUUAUGGAGAGUUUGAUCCUGGCUCAGGAUGAACGCUGGCGGCGUGCUUAACACAUGCAAGUCGAACGGUGAACGAGGGAGCUUGCUCCCUCCGGAUCAGUGGCGAACGGGUGAGUAACACGUGAGCAAUCUGCCCCGAACUCUGGGAUAAGCGUUGGAAACGACGUCUAAUACCGGAUACGAGCUGCGAAGGCAUCUUCUGCAGUUGGAAAGAAUUUCGGUUCGGGAUGAGCUCGCGGCCUAUCAGCUAGUUGGUGAGGUAAUGGCCCACCAAGGCGACGACGGGUAGCCGGCCUGAGAGGGUGACCGGCCACACUGGGACUGAGACACGGCCCAGACUCCUACGGGAGGCAGCAGUGGGGAAUAUUGCACAAUGGGCGCAAGCCUGAUGCAGCAACGCC
rnacentral:ncRNA from 1 species